rnacentral:lncRNA from 1 species
UGGAGGAUUUGGGAUCCCGGGAGACAUGUGGUCAAGGGCAGUGUACCUCGUGGCCCCCAGGCCAAAGUGGUGCUAGGGUGGGUGUCCGGCCCGGAGCCCAGGGGCAGAGCACAGACCUCACUGACCCUCUGGCGAAACAGCUCUAUGCCCCGCAUGAGAAUGGAUCCUGUGACCCUCCGGACCCUCUGACUAAACAGCUUUGCACCCUGUGUGAGGGCAGAUACUGACAGGGUUGGACAAGCACCACCUUACAAGGUUCCCAAGGCCCCCUGGUGAGGAGCCACCUCUCCGGAUUUUGGCAGCGGGACCUGAGACUCUCCAAGGCAGACUUGCUCCUGGCUCUUCUGCAUGACAUCAAGCCUGUUUCUUCACUGUCUUCUUCAGGACCUGGUGAUGUCUCCAUUUCACAGCAGAAAGAAGUGCAGCUGGAUAGGUGGAAUGUUUCUCAGUGGGGCCACUUGCACUGCAUGUGAGAUGUCCUGAGAGGAGCCAGUGGCCCUGGAAAAGGAAGGUUUGCUUUCUAAGAGAAGCUCCAAUGAGGACGUCACUGCUUUAUGGCGCUAAGAGUCUCUAGAUCCUUAAUUUUGCCCAUGGUGUCAAACUUCGCAAGGCUUGGAGCCUGACGUGAGUGAUAUUCCUGCCAUUUCAGUGAGAAAGAGCAUUUUGGAGAGAAGAGUAGCAUCUCUACAUACCUCCGAUGAGAAGCAUAAUUGCC